GCCAGCGUGGCGUAGUGGUUUGAGCACUGGACCAGAACUAGAGACCAGGGUUCAAAUCCUGGCUCAGCCA